GACCAUGAUGAGUAACCAUGCUAAUACUGAUGCAACAGUCACAUUCCUCUGGUAUGUGUUCUGGGGGCAAAUGAGUUAAACCACUUUCUCGUUUUGAACUCUGAGGUCA
rnacentral:snoRNA from 1 species